CCUAGCAAACUGUGUGUUCCAUUUCGGAGGAGUGAUUACCAUCGAUCAAAGGUAAUUUCAUCGGCUGAUAGCUGAUCAACAGGACAGUGAGGUGACAUUGGCGCACGGUUCGGAAACUGAUAUAAUUCGGUGGAGACUGUUCAUUUGUAAUUUCAAGCGCUGCAGCGAACGCAACAGAUGAAAUCACCGUCUUCGACUCUGCUCUUCCUCUCCCUGGCUGCUUUUCUGGCCUCCCUGGUCAUGGGCCACCCGCGCGACACGGACCCCGCCCAAGACCAUCGGUCCAUGCGGAUCAGGCGCCGCGGCAAACCACCCGUGAACCGAAAUCAUCUGUUUGACUUACGGGGUUUCUACUGGCUUCAAAAAUACGCACCGACGUCAGUUCUUCUUGGGGACUUCAGGGUGAUGGACGAGUAAAGGGAAUCGAAGACCGAUUCUUCAUUCCUCGAUGUUGGCACCAACAGAGGGGCACCCUUCUCAAUUGGAGGAGACGACCGCAUGGAAAAGUCACAAUUUUCCUGUUAUUUAAAACAUUUUCAUGUUGACUAUUAUACCUUUCAAGGUGUAUAUAAAGUUGAGAGAGCGGAGAAUAGAGGGCAAGAUGAUGACCCCAUUUUUGACUUGAUCCAAUCUUCAAAAUGCUGCCAAUCAGCCAUCUUGAAUUCCGUUAAUUGGGUCGCGGCCUUUUAAGAUGGAUGCCAUAUUUGAUUUUUGGACACAUUUUGGUUACAUAUUGGUUACAUACUGGUUGCCAAAAAAUUAUUUCUCUCUAUUGUUUUUGCAUCCAAUUUCUCGAUGCACUCGAAAGAUGUGUGAAAAAUAGGUGUACAUGUUUGCAAUAUUGGGCGAAAAUAAACUGGAUGAACAUUUCGACCGUUUGCAGCGUGUAUUCUAUCAGUACAUAUCACGGCGAAAAAGAAUGAACGGAAACGUCAUUUUUUAUAAGAAUUUUAUUAAAACAAUAUUUACAGCAUCUUUUCGAUCAUGUAUAUUGGUUAUGGCAGUCUGGUUAUGGUCAGUCAGCCUAUACAACACUUUAGAAUGGUCCCGGAUAUGACGCAGAUGGUACGGUUGCACUUAACUGACCAACCAGCUACAGAGCCAGCAAAUGACGUAAAUCGUACUGGGACCAGUUCAGAAGAGUUGUAUUCACCUGAUCCACUAUAUACAGUCUGGGUUCGGGUGUCUGUGGCAGGGUCGGAAGCUAUCCGAAAACGAAUUUCACGAUUACAGUCUCU